AGGUCCAAGGGAAGAAUUGGGUGGGGUUUAUGUUGGUAAUUUUGAAAGAGAACAGAGAGCAAGUUGUGUUGGAACCCAAUGCGGUUCAGAAAGAAGAAAUGGUGAGAUGCUGUCACAUUUCACACAGAUUAGGUCAACGGAAGGAAACCAGAGAUUCUAGAACACCACUGUUCAAGAGGCACCCUGGUUCUGAACUUUGGCCUCAACCUUCCACUGGUCCUGAGACACGCCAACAACAAAAUCUUAUCAUCCCUGUGAGAGCCUAGAGUCACCUCCUCAGGCUCCUGCUCUCACGUGCCAAUAGCUGAGGGUCUCUGAAGCACAGAUAAGACCUCAUUCCUAAUCCUUCAUCACUGGACUCUCCUCUGAAGGGCAAUGUCUAGCACCCUACUUUGCCCACACUAGCUGAUCAAUAAAUCUUCACUGAGACCAGGCGCGGUGGCCCAUCCUUGUAAUCCAGCAUUUUGAGAGGCCGAGGUGGCCAGAUUGCUUCAAUGCAAGAGUUCAAGACCAGCCAGGACAACCUAGGGAGAUACCAUCUCUACAAAAUUAAAAAAACAAACAGCUGAGCUUGGUGGUACAUGCCUGUAGUCCCAGCUACUCAGGAGGCUUGAGCCCAAGAGAUUGAGCCUGCAAUUACCCAUGAUCCUACCACUGCACUCCAGCCCGGGCUGCAGAACAAGACUCCAUCUCAGAAAUGAACAAACAAAAAAUCUUGAUUGUGGGAGGUGAGAAGAUCUGCCUUUAACCUAAAACCCUCAGAAUUAUUUAUAAUGACAGCAAUAAUAAUAAAUGGCUACCAUAUACUGAGCGCUUACUCCAGGCCAAGUGCAAUGUGAAGUACUUCCCACGUUCUUAGUGAAUUCUCAGAAAAUGCUCUGCAGUAGUUACCAUUACUGUCCUCAUCUCGCAGUGGGAAACUUGUGACCUGGAGAGGUUGGGCAACUUGCUCAAGUAGCACAGGAAGGGACAGUGCAAAUCUCAGAGCCAGGAUCAUCUAUCUGCAGAGCCCAAGCUCUUAUCCUCUAGGCUCUACGGACUUUGAAAACUGUGGCAAGCUGGGCUACCAACUGAUUCUAGCCUGUGAACAGCACUGGGCAGGAGAGAUAAAACAAAUCUGCUAAUACCUCACAGAAGAUGCUGACUUUGAAAUCAAGUGCAUCAACUUCUUCCUUCCUAACGAUGGCAUCGUGACAUGUUCCCAGAGACUGACCGGCCUUCUUACACCAAGCUCCUCUUCAGCCAAGCAGCAAGUGUUCUCUGUUCUGGGAUUUGGUAAAGAAGAGAAAUGAAAAUUAUCAAGAAGCUUAUGGAAGAAUCAGAGGCCAACAUACAAUGACAGCCUUGACAAGACCCCCUAAGCAAUGGAGUGAGUCGCUCAGUGAGAGGUACAAGUUGCAGGGUCAAGAAUUCCAGGGGAAGAAAAAAAGAAACAAAGAAAAGAAACAAGGCUGGAACUAGGCACCGACAGGGGACAUUUUAGAGGCGACUGGAGGUCUUUCCUCAAUCAUUCGCUAAUGCUCAGGCAGCGACUUAACCCCUGAAAGAAUGGAACUGGAGUCUGACCAGAAGUGACCUUUCCUGGUUCUUUAAUAAAUAUCUCUUGCAAGACUCCUGAGAGGUCAAUUGGAGAACCCAAAAUGCUGACUUUUCAAAAACACAAAGGAAAAGGCAGAAAAAAGAGACACCAUUAAAAAAAGAAAAGGAACAGUUUAGUGAGAGCAUCUCCUUACACACACACAAGCACACGCACACACAUGCCUACUGUUAAGGAGUAAAUUGUGUCCCCUCAAAAUUCAUAUGUUGAAGUGCUAACCCUCCAUGCCUCCAAUGCAAAUGGACAUUGAAAUAGGGCUUAACAAGAGCUAAUUAAGGUAAAAUGAGGGCAUACCAAUGAAGUGUAAUCCAGUAUGACUGGUAUUCUUAUCUGCAAGUGAAGGAGAGAGGACUUAGAAGAAACCAACCUUGCUGACACCUUGACGCUGGACUUGUAGAACCCAGAACGGCGAGAAAAUAAAUUUUUAUUGUUUAAGCCACCCAGUCUGUGGUAUUUGUUUGAUAGGCCAGGCAAACUAAUACACGUGUGUGCGUGCGUGCACACACACACACACUCACAGAGAGAGAGAGAGAGAGAGAGAGAGAAAGCAAGUCACUGGGCUGCAUCACUCAGCGAGAGAACUCUAAGAAACCCAAGUU